rnacentral:lncRNA from 10 species
AUGGACACUGGUAUGAUUGAAAUUGGAUUAAAUGUCAUUCUCACCACCUGGCUACUUAUGCAUGGAAAGGAAGUUGGCAGUAUCAUCAGAAAGAGGAGAAUCAGUUAAGAUGCAUGAGGAGAGUGGUGCAUGUAUCAGCAUCUCAGAAGGGAGUUGUUCUGAGAGAAUUAUCAUCUUGGCUGGACCCACUAGCGCCAUCUUCAAAGCAAGAUUGGAAGAGGAUAUCAGUAGCUCUGUGACCACUAGCACAGCUGCCAGUGGACCCCCUGGUCACCCUGAUGCUGGUGGUCCCUGCUAGUCACUGUGGCUCAUUGGAAAAGGUGGUUGCAAGAUCAAGGCAAUACGAGAGAGUACAGGGCUCAGGUCCAGGUGGCAGGGGAUAUGCUCCCCAACGCUGCUGACUGAGCCAUCACUAUCGCUGGGAUUCCGCAGUCCAUCAUUGAGUGUGUUGGACAGGUCUGUGUGGUGUUGGAGUCUUCCCCCAAACGCAUGGCCAUCCCAUACUGGUCCAAGCUGUCCAAUUCUCCGGUGAUCUUUGCAGGUGAUCAGGACAGGUACAGCACAGGCAGCGACAGUGUGAGCUUGCUUUCUCCACACCACUUCGUCCAUGUGCCUCAACUGUGACCUGGAGGGACCACUUCUAGAGUUGACCAAGCUGCACCAGUUGACAAUGCAACAAUCUAGUUUUCCUACAGUAGAUAGCAACGCUGGGGUUCAGUGCAGGUUUGGAUGCAUCUGCUCAGACCACUUCUCAUAAACACCAUUCCAAAUGAUACUGGCUGCAUAAUCAGGUGUCAAGGCACCAGAAUAAAUGAGAUCUAUCAGAUGUCUGCAGCGUAGAUCAAAAUUGUGAACCCAGUGGAAGGAUCUAUUGAUAGGCAGGUUACCAUCACUGGAUCUGCUGCCAGCAUUAGCCUGGCUCAAUGGCUAAUCAAUGUCCGGCUCACCUUAGGAUGAGUGGCAUGGGGAACAGCUAG